GGCGGUGUAGCUCAGCUUGGUUAGAGCGCUAGACUCAUAAUCUAGAGGUCCCGAGUUCAAAUCACGGCACCGCCA
rnacentral:tRNA from 1 species